rnacentral:rRNA from 1 species
GGAAUUUUGGACAAUGGGCGCAAGCCUGAUCCAGCCAUGCCGCGUGCAGGAUGAAGGCCUUCGGGUUGUAAACUGCUUUUGUACGGAACGAAAAGACUCCUUCUAAUAAAGGGGGUCCAUGACGGUACCGUAAGAAUAAGCACCGGCUAACUACGUGCCAGCAGCCGCGGUAAUACGUAGGGUGCGAGCGUUAAUCGGAAUUACUGGGCGUAAAGCGUGCGCAGGCGGUGAUGUAAGACAGAUGUGAAAUCCCCGGGCUCAACCUGGGAACUGCAUUUGUGACUGCAUCGCUGGAGUGCGGCAGAGGGGGAUGGAAUUCCGCGUGUAGCAGUGAAAUGCGUAGAUAUGCGGAGGAACACCGAUGGCGAAGGCAAUCCCCUGGGCCUGCACUGACGCUCAUGCACGAAAGCGUGGGGAGCAAACA